GAAAUGCGAUAAUUAAUGUGAAUUGCAGAAUUCAGUGAAUCAUCGAGUCUUUGAACGCACAUUGCGCCCCCUGGUAUUCCGGGGGGCAUGCCUGUCCGAGCGUCAUUGCUGCCCUCAAGCACGGCUUGUGUGUUGGGCUUCCGUCCCUGGCAACGGGGACGGGCCCAAAAGGCAGUGGCGGCACCAUGUCUGGUCCUCGAGCGUAUGGGGCUUUGUCACCCGCUCCCGUAGGUCCAGCUGGCAGCUAGCCUCGCAACCAAUCUUUUUAACCAGAUUGACCUCGGAUCAGGUAGGGAUACCCGCUGAACUUAAGC
rnacentral:misc_RNA from 1 species